rnacentral:rRNA from 1 species
UACGGGGGAUGCAAGCGUUAUCCGGAAUUAUUGGGCGUAAAGCGUCCGUAGGUGGUUGACCAAGUCUGCUGUCAAAGGGUGGGGCUUAACCUCAUAAAGGCAGUGGAAACUGGUGAGCUAGAGUGCGGUAGGGGUAAGGUGAAUUCCCAGUGUAGCGGUGAAAUGCGUAGAGAUUGGGAAGAACAUCGGUGGCGAAAGCGCCUUGCUGGGCCUGCACUGACACUGAGGGACGAAAGCUAGGGGAGCGAAAGGG